UGCACGGCGCCGAGAGCCAGUCAAGGGCGCCGGGAAAAGUGAUCGUUUGACCUGCUGCCAUCGCCAGGUCCGGCUCCCCCAACCCUGCCCCGUGGAGGGGCGCGGCCAGGUGCAGUGGGGAUCCCGCGCAAUGCGCAGUUUGUUAAGAGCCGGGGCGGCCUCGGGUGUUUGAACUCGACCCUUGGCGGGGGCGAGGUCCCCACACCCUUUGUAUGGGGAGUGGGGACGACCCAGGCCGGGGUGCGAGGUGACGCCGACACUCCUGACUAACGCGACAUGCUCCGGCCUGCCCCCGCCCCCAGCCCAAGUCCGCGCGGCGCCGAGGUGGCCCCGGAGCGUCGGGGACCCGUAACGAACUGGUGUCACCUGCUGAGAACCCAGGACACUCCCGACAGCCACGUGCGCAGGUGGCCUGACGCAGACUGGAGAUUCAGCAGCGCUUCGUGAGCAACCCUUCUCCCUGGGACCCCAAGGUGAAAGAAACUGAAGUUUAGGUCUCUCCUGUCCUCUCCUGGAUGUCAGAUUUUCCUGUGGAAAUUGGUAUUGAUGUUUAUUUCCCUUUGAAACCAGGAUUUCUCCCUGUCCCAUGGCCCCAGCAAGAGUGCCAGACCAGCCUACAGGCCGCAGACCCACAGAGGCAACAGCUUCUCAAACUGCCAAGACUUCCAGCCCUUUGUCCUCAACUUGAAAGAGUCUCCUGGGCUCCCUUUGUCUGCCCUUCUCUCUGCUUCGACAGUUGACAGUCGUAGAUUCACUGCCACAAUCAAGUGGUAAACCGUCUCAUCCCGUCAUUCUGAGCAGUUCUCAGUGCCCCUUUGCAGCCAGUCCCUCUCCUCUACCACCAGUCUUGAGCAGCCAUUGAUCCUCUGUCACCGUAGUUUUGCCUUUUCCUGCAGGUGAAUGAAAUAACUGUACAGUCUGGGGUGUGUUUCUUCAGGCUUCUAACCCUUAGCAUAAUGCUUCUGGGAUUCAGCUACCUUGUUUUAUCAGUAGUUUGUUUGUUUUGUUGCUUAGUAUUUCCUUAUAUGGAUGCACUCGUAUUUGUCCAUUUGAUGUUUGUUUCCAUUCAGGCUGCUGUGAAUAUUUGUGCACAAGUCUUUAGGGUAAGCACACAGAAGACGGACUGCCAGGUUUUAUGGUAAAUAUGUGUCAAACCAUUUAGGAAACUGUUUUCCAAAGUAGUCCCAUUUUGUAUUCCCACCAAUAGUAUGUUUUGGUUGUUCUUAUCCUUCCCAAUACCUUCUUUUACUGCACUUUCUUAUACUUUGUGGAUACUGAAUUUUGUACAAAUUGAAGUUUUGUGGCACCCCUGUGUCAAUCAAGUCUAUCUGCAAUUUUUCUAGCACCUCUGAUGAUUGUUAGCAUUUUUCAACAAUAAAGUUUUUUUUUAAUCAAGGUAUUCACAUUACUGACAGAAUGCUAUUACACACUUACAUGACUACAGUACAGUGUAAACAUAACUUUCUUAUGCACUGGAAAAUUUAAAAAUUUGCAUGACUUGCCUUAUUGUCACACUCAUUUUAUUGCAGUGACCUGGAUCCAAGCCUGCAGUAUCUCUGAGGUAUCCUGUACUUGGUAUUGUCAGUCUUUUUUUUUUUUUUUUGGUACCCGGGAUCAAACUCUGGCCCUUGCAAGGCAGGUGGUGGCACCACUGAGCUAAAUGCCUGGCCCUGUCAGUCUUUUUAAAUUUAGCCAUUCUCAUAAGUGUGUGGUGGUACAGUAUCUCAUUGUAGUUUUAAUUUACAUUUGUUGAAUAGUCAUGCUAAUAAUCUUUUCAUGUGCUUAUUGACCAUAUAUGUAUUUUUUAUAACUUGAAAUAUUUUGCCCAUUUUUUAAAAAUUUUAAAUUGCAUUUUAUUAUUUAAAUUGUAUUCUGGCCAGGCAUGGUAGUGCAUGCCUGUAAUCCCAUCACUUGAGAGGCUGAGGCAGGAGGAUCACUACAUGUUCAAAGCCACCCUGGACUACAUAGCAAGAUCCUCUUUAUAAAUAACAAAUAGCAUUCUGGAUACAAGUUUUCACUUUUUAUUUAUUUAUUUAUUUCCAGUACUGGGGAUUGAACUCAGGACCUUGCACUUGCCAGGCAGGUGCAGCUCCACUGAGCUGUAUUCUGGAUACAAGCUCUUUGUCAGAUACAUGUUUUGGAAAUAUUAUUUAAUUCUAGACUUCCUUUUUAUUUUCCUACUUGUAUCUUUUGAAGAAAACAGGUAUUCAGUUUUUCUUUUAUUACUAGCACUAUGCUCUAACCAGCUGAGCUAACUGCCAGCUUUAAACCCUUCUUUUAAUGGUUUGUUUUUUUUUUUUUUGGUACCAGGGAUCAAACUCAGGACCUUGAACCUGAGAGGCAGGCGGCAGAACCACUGAGCUAAAUCCCUGGCCCUGGUUUGUAUUUUUUAUGUCCUGAGAAGUCUGCCUGCUCAAAUGUCACAAAGGUCAUCUAUGUUUUCCUCUGGAAAUUUUAUAGUUUUUCCUUUCACAGUUACUGAUACAUUUUGAGUUCAUUUUUGUGUAUAAUAAAGAUAAGAAUUGGAGUUCUUGGGCUGGGGAUUUAGCUUAGUGGCACCCCACCUGCCUCACAAGCGCAAGGUCCUGAGUUCAAUCCCGUACCAAAGAAAAAAAAAAUUGGGGUUCUAUUUUUUUUCCUAAUAGAUAUCCAAGUAUUCUAAGACCAUUUGUUGAACUGUUAUUACACACAGACACGCACGCACACACACGCUAAAUGCCUUGGCACCUUUUUUGAAACUUUGUUGCCCACGUCUUUCCAAUAUGAAGAUUAGAAUUGACUUACUAAAUUUUAGGGGAAAAAGAGCCUGAUGGGAUUGGGAUUGCAUUGGCUCUUUAGAUUAACUGGGGAAGAACUGACAUCCUAACAAUACAGAUUCUUCCCAACCCACGAGCAUGGUAAAGUAUAUCUCUCCACUUAUUCGCUUUUAAUGUUUUUUAGCUUUCAUUGUGCAUAUCUUGCAAAUAUUUUGUUAAACUUACCCUAGGUAUUUUUUUCUGAUUUUUUAGCACUAUUGAAAAUAUUUUAAAAUUUUAAAUGCAAUUUUUUUUGUUGUUUUCAUUUUUGUUUUUGGUACCAGGGAUUGAACUUGGGACCUUCUGCUUUUGAGGCAGGUGGCGGAACCACUGAGCUAAAUCCCCAGCCCGCAAUUGUUUUUUAUAUUGGACUUUGUACCCUGCAAUUUUGCUAAUUUCUCAGUUCUGAUAGCUUAUUGUGGAUUCUUAGAGGUUUACAUCCACAAUCAUGUAGUCUGCAAUAAAGAUGGCUUCACUUCUUUCUGACCUGUA